GCCUCUAUGGCGUAGUGGUAGCGCGUGUCACUUGUACUUCCAAGAACAAGAAUAUGACAAGGUCUCUCGUUCGAUCCGGGAUGGAGGCA
rnacentral:tRNA from 1 species